rnacentral:rRNA from 1 species
UUGUGAGGGGAGAGAGAGAGCUUGCGUUUUCACAUCAAACUCAAUACAGUGUAGAAUGUAUUAUUUGUGCGGUCACACGCAAUCAAUACAACUUUCAACAACGGAUCUCUUGGCUCUCGCAUCGAUGAAGAACGCAGCGAAAUGCGAUACGUAAUGUGAAUUGCAGAAUUCAGUGAAUCAUCGAAUCUUUGAACGCACCUUGCGCCCCUUGGCAUUCCGAGGGGCACACCCGUUUGAGUGUCGUGAAAUCAUCAAAACCCUUUUCUUUUUGAGAGAAAGGGGUUUUUGGACUUGGAGGUUUGAUGCUUGCUUUCACUUUUGAAAGCAAGCUCCUCCCAAAUAAAUUAGUUGGGUCCGCUUUGUUGAUCCUUGACGUAAUAAGAUGUUUCUACGUUUUGGAUGUGGCAUUGUCAUUUGGAUGCCUGCUUCUAACUGUCUCAUGGACAAUGAUGGUGCUCCGGUCACUGCCACUUUACAUUGGCAGGGAGGCUUGGCCCCACAAAUGAACCCUUGACCUCAAAUCGGGUGAGACUACCCGCUGAACUUAAGCAUAUCA